rnacentral:rRNA from 1 species
UACGUAGGGUGCAAGCGUUAAUCGGAAUACUGGGCGUAAAGCGUGCGCAGGCGGUUAUGUAAGACAGAUGUGAAAUCCCCCGGGCUCAACCUGGGAACUGCAUUUGUGACUGCAUAGCUAGAGUACGGGUAGAGGGGGGAUGGAAUUCCGCGUGUAGCAGUGAAAUGCGUAGAUAUGCGGAGGAACACCGAUGGCGAAGGCAAUCCCCUGGACCUGUACUGAC